AGAGUUUGAUCCUGGCUCAGAACGAACGCUGGCGGCGGGUUUUAAACAUGCAAGUCGAACGGUAAGGCCCUUCGGGGUACACGAGUGGCGAACGGGUGAGUAACACGUAGGAACCUACCUCAAUGAGAGGGACAACUUUGGGAAACUGAAGCUAAUACCUCAUAAUCCUGUCAUCUUUUAGUUGGCGGGCAAAUGGUUCCCUUCGGGGUUCCGCUUUGAGAUGGGCCUGCGGUCUAUCAGCUUGUUGGUAGGGUAAUGGCCUACCAAGGCAUCGACGGAUAGCUGGCUUGAGAGGGUGGUCGGCCACACUGGAACUGAGACACGGUCCAGACUCCUACGGGAGGCAGCAGUUAAGAAUCUUGCGCAAUGGGCGAAAGCCUGACGCAGCCACGCCGCGUGAGCGAUGAAGGCCUUCGGGUUGUAAAGCUCAGUAUGAUGGGACGAAUAAGCAUGGUCUAAUAGGCCAUGCGAUGACGGUACCAUCCUGCAGCCCCGGCUAAUUACGUGCCAGCAGCCGCGGUAAUACGUAUGGGGCAAGCGUUGUUCGGAUUUAUUGGGCGUAAAGGGCACGCAGGCGGACUGAUAAGUUGGAUGUUUAAUCUUUAGGCUCAACCUAAAGUCGGCAUCCAAAACUGUUAGUCUUGAGUCCCAGAGGGGAAAGCGGAAUUCUCGGUGUAGCGGUGGAAUGCGUAGAUAUCGAGAGGAACACCAGUGGCGAAGGUGGCUUUCUGGCUGGGUACUGACGCUCAGGUGCGAAAGCGUGGGGAGCGAACAGGAUUAGAUACCCUGGUAGUCCACGCCGUAAACGUUGUGCACUAGAUGUUGGGGGUUUCAACGCCUUCAGUGUCGGCGCCAACGCAUUAAGUGCACCGCCUGGGGAGUAUGCUCGCAAGGGUGAAACUCAAAGGAAUUGACGGGGGCCCGCACAAGCGGUGGAGCAUGUGGUUUAAUUCGACGAUACACGAAGAACCUUACCCGGGCUUGACAUUCAUUUGGACGGGCGUAGAGAUACGCCUUCCUUUAUGGCCGAUGAACAGGUGUUGCAUGGUUGUCGUCAGCUCGUGUUGUGAGAUGUUGGGUUAAGUCCCGCAACGAGCGCAACCCCUACCUCCUGUUGCUAGCAGGUAAAGCUGAGCACUCUGGAGGGACCGCCGGUGAUAAACUGGAGGAAGGUAGGGAUCACGUCAGAUCAGCAUGGCCCUUACGUCCGGGGCUACACACGUGCUACAAUGGCCGGUACAAAGGGUCACAAAACCGCAAGGUGGAGUAAAUCCCAUAAAACCGGUCUCAGUUCGGAUUGCAGUCUGCAACUCGACUGCAUGAAGCCGGAAUCGCUAGUAAUCGCGGAUCAGCUAAGCCGCGGUGAAUACGUUCCCGGGCCUUGUACACACCGCCCGUCACACCACCCAAGUUAGCGGCACCCGAAGCGGCUUCGUUAACCUUCUUCGGAAGGAGGCAGGUCACGAAGGUGAAGUUGGCGAGGGGGGUGAAGUCGUAACAAGGUA
rnacentral:rRNA from 1 species